rnacentral:rRNA from 1 species
CUGGAGUUACUAGUAAUCGCAGAUCAGAAUGCUGCGGUGAAUGCGUUCCCGGGUCUUGUACACACCGCCCGUCACACCACGGGAGUUGGAGACGCCCGAAGCCGAUUAUCUAACCUUUUGGAAGAAGGCGUCGAAGGUGGAAUCAAUAACUGGGGUGAAGUCGUAACAAGGUAGCCGUAUCGGAAGGUGCGGCUGGAUCACCUCCUUUCUAAGGA